AACAAGGCGUACCUGCGGACCUGCGGAAGGAUCAUUACCGAGUUUACAACUCCCAAACCCCUGUGAACAUACCUAUACGUUGCCUCGGCGGAUCAGCCCGCGCCCUGUAAAAAGGGACGGCCCGCCCGAGGACCCUAAACUCUGUUUUUAGUGGAACUUCUGAGUAAAACAAACAAAUAAAUCAAAACUUUCAGCAAUGGAUCU
rnacentral:misc_RNA from 1 species